rfam:TPA: Bos taurus chromosome 2, whole genome shotgun sequence.
UCCCUGGUGGUCCAGCGGCUAAGAUUCUGCUCUCCCAAUGCAGGGGCCCCAGGUUCGAACCUUGGUCAGGGCA